rnacentral:rRNA from 1 species
UGGGGGAUAUUGCACAAUGGGCGAAAGCCUGAUGCAGCGACGCCGCGUGGGGGAUGAAGGCCUUCGGGUUGUAAACUUCUUUUGCUCUGAACAAGGCAUGCCUUUGGGGUGUGUUGAGGGUAGGGGUUGAUUAGCGCCGGCUAACUACGUGCCAGCAGCCGCGGUAAUACGUAGGGCGCGAGCGUUGUCCGGAAUUAUUGGGCGUAAAGGGCUUGUAGGUGGCUGGUUGCGUCUGUCGUGAAAGCUCAUGGCUUAACUGUGGGUUUGCGGUGGGUACGGGCUGGCUUGAGUGCAGCAGGGGAGGCUGGAAUUCCUGGUGUAGCGGUGGAAUGCGCAGAUAUCAGGAGGAAUACCGGUGGCGAAGGCGGGUCUCUGGGCUGUUACUGACGCUGAGGAGCGAAAGCGUGGGGAGCGAACAGG